CAGGGAAUCUUGCGCAAUGGGCGAAAGCCUGACGCAGCGACGUCGCGUGAGGGAUGAAGGCCCUCGGGUCGUAAACCUCUUUUCCAGGGGAAGAAGCUCUGACGGUACCCCGGGAAUAAGCCUCGGCUAACUACGUGCCAGCAGCCGCGGUAAUACGUAGGAGGCGAGCGUUGUCCGGAUUUACUGGGCGUAAAGGGCGUGUAGGCGGCUCGAUAAGUCUUCUGUGAAAUCCCUGGGCUUAACCUGGGAACUGCAUUUGAAACUGGUCAACUAGAGUAUGGUAGAGGAAAGUGGAAUUUCUGGUGUAGCGGUGAAAUGCGUAGAUAUCAGAAGGAACAUCAAUGGCGAAGGCAGCUUUCUGGACCAAUACUGACGCUGAGGUACGAAAGCGUGGGUAGCAAACAGG
rnacentral:rRNA from 1 species